UAAGGAAUAUUGGUCAAUGGAGGCAACUCUGAACCAGCCAUGCCGCGUGCAGGAAGAAGGCCCUAUGGGUCGUAAACUGCUUUUGAACAAGAGAAAACCCCGGUACGUGUACUGGGUUGAUAGUAUUGUUAGAAUAAGCAUCGGCUAACUUCGUGCCAGCAGCCGCGGUAAGACGAAGGAUGCAAGCGUUAUCCGGAUUCAUUGGGUUUAAAGGGUGCGUAGGCGGACUGAUAAGUCAGUGGUGAAAUCUCUCGGCUUAACCGAGAAACUGCCAUUGAUACUGUUAGUCUAGAGUACAGAUGAUGUGGGCGGAAUAUGACAUGUAGUGGUGAAAUACUUAGAUAUGUCAUAGAACACCGAUUGCGAAGGCAGCUCACAAAACUGUAACUGACGCUGAGGCACGAAAGUGCGGGGAUCAAACAGGAUUAGAUACCCACGUAGUCCCUGAGCGGGCUGGCAAGGCGC
rnacentral:rRNA from 1 species